GCCUCAUGUGGUCGUUUCUCUUCGGGCCCAACACGAGCCCAAAAGCUUCCCAUCUUCUCCCAGAAGAUUAGCGGCGGGGGAGGCGGCGGCGACCGGCGGCGACAGGGUGGCCGGAUUUGCGGUCCCGUCUCCCUCUCCUGGGCUUCCGCCACCACCCGCGGGCGCUUCUCCUCCACCGGGAAGCCUGCCGUCGCGCGACGGCGACUCCCUUCGACUGUUCGACGCAAUGCCAGGGCAGGCCUGGUGGAGCGGAGGCGGAGCCGCUUCUUCGCUGCUUGAGGCGAGGCGUUCAGGGUGUUCGGCGAAAUGCUCGAGAGUCGCUUGUCCAGUCCUGGUCGGUGGCGACUUCGGCCGUCGAAGAUCUCGUGGGCGGCGACUGUGCUUCCGCUUCGUGAGACCUGGUUGCUUGGUACUAACACACACAAAUCUUUACACAGCUUCUGAAGGACGCAUACCUUUUGGUAAGGAGCAAAAGACUCGUCUCUGUGAAAAGAAACACAGCUUCUGAAGAUUUGCAAGAUCCACUUUGCAGAUACUACAUGCAAAGCAUCAUUCCGAGAGGUGCAUAUAAUUUAGAGCAAUCAUCGGCAUCGUGGUCAUGGUGUGUACAUGCUCUGGAAAACAACAUAGCACGACUGGUGGGUGAUUGGGUGGGUAAUCUGGUGCUCUCUUCUUCAAUUCUUCUUCCUGUUGACCCAAGGGCCAAGGCGUUUACUUUCUGUUAUCAAGCGUGCGUUCCGGCUUAUUUGCUCCACACGCUUGCAGUUGUUUUCCAUUCUCCCGGCUCCACUGGUGUAUCUUUGUAGACCAUGGAUUAUGACUCUUGUGUCUAUCUCUGAAUUUUGGAAGUGCUUGAAGACUUGAAGUAAGCUGCGUAGCGUGUGAGGGCUGCAGGCUGCCAGUGGGAGCUGGCUUAUCAUUUGGGACACCACAGGGGAGACUGGUUCUUGUGUAGACAUGGUCUAUGGACUAUGGAACGGACUGAAGCCACACAGAUCUUCAGGUGCAGCACAAACUGGAGAAAUCCUUCGGCCAGAACAGAAACAGCAUGGGGAACACAAGAUGAUUACAGAAGAUCGGCUGCACAAAGACCAAUUCUAGAAACAGCAUAGAGGCCAUUUCCAGUUCAGACGACUGUAGUGCUGUACUGCUGUGCUGCACGUCGUACACGUCGAAGUCUGAAGAGGAUUGCUGCACUGCAGAUCAAUCAAUGAUUUUCCAAUUUUCGUCAAAACAAGAAACCAAUGAUUUUCCAGGCUCAUGGACACGGUCUACCCAGGCACCCAUCCGUAGACGUGCAAAAUUAUGAAAAACUGAUGGCGAUCUGGCGAUGAAUGAAUGAAUGAUUCGGACCGCCGCUACGUUGUUGCUGCCGACGCGUUCGUUGGCCGUGUGUCCGUGUCUCGGUCUGCAGUCUUCAGUGUCUCAGUCCGAUCGGAAUGAAAUGGAAUGGAGGAGAUGGCGGUGUGAACUGUCCUUGGUAGUGGAGUUGUGGAUUGGCUCGUAUACGACAAAUGUAUUUGGAUAUUUGGCACUUGUUAUCGCUGGAAAAAAUAUAGUCAAGUCGUGUACGAGGAAAACUGCAUGCUACUACCAUACAUACGAAGGAUAUCAAGUUCUUGACAUUUUGAUAUGGAGCAUAGCAAAACUGUUCUAGUUCUCGUUUGAAAUGCGAGAAUGUGUUCACAAAAGGCUGAUUCAUUUUAUUUAAAAUUCACGCAAUAUUCCUCUGUUCGAAGGAAAGGUCUUGUUGUGUUUUUCUUUUUCUUUUUUUUCUUUUCUAGUGCAGGCUGAUCUGCUGUGCUGAGUGCAGACCGUGGCAGAAGUGAUUUACUUUUCCUUGUAUAAGGGGGUGUUUAAAUCCGGGGUGUAAAGUUUUAGCGUGUCACAUCGAAUAUUAUAUAAGGUAUCGCAUGUGGCAGGGUUUACAUUACCGGUUGACCACUAAAUUUCGAACCCCAUCGGUAUCACCGUUUUCGAUAAAUUUUGAUCGGUUUUCGAUAAA